UACGAAGGGGGCUAGCGUUGCUCGGAAUCACUGGGCGUAAAGGGUGCGUAGGCGGGUCUUUAAGUCAGGGGUGAAAUCCUGGAGCUCAACUCCAGAACUGCCUUUGAUACUGAGGAUCCUGAGUUCGGGAGAGGUGAGUGGAACUGCGAGUGUAGAGGUGAAAUUCGUAGAUAUUCGCAAGAACACCAGUGGCGAAGGCGGCUCACUGGCCCGAUACUGACGCUGAGGCACGAAAGCUAGGGGAGCAAACAGG
rnacentral:rRNA from 1 species